AGAUGGAAGCAGCAGAACAAGUGAGAGAGUGAGAAAACUCCCCAUUAGCACUGAGAGCCCUGAAGACUUUGCCUUCGAAACUGCCUUCGUCUUAUGCCUGGACUUUUGCCUUGUGGACUUGCCGGGUAAUCUAUGGGCUGUUGUUUGGAGGACUGAGGGUGGAGCCUUACUGGUCGGUGGAGGGCCAUUUGUUUAACCAUUCCCAAGAGAAAUAGAGAACUCUCUGGAAGCCUGCCGAACCGUGACCACCUGGGUCAUAAUAUGAGGUGAGCAUACUUUCAAAUUGCUAGGUUGGCAGGAGCUGGGGCAAGAAUGGGAGCCAACCCCAUCACACAGUGCUUGGAUCUCGAACUGCCAACCUUCUGGUCAACAAACCCGGAAUCUUAACUUCAAGGCUACCACACUCCUUUUUAAAAAUGUAAUAUAAACUUACAUGUCUGAAAAUCAUAGUGUUCUACCCCUGGCUCAAAACAUAACAGGAGGAACAAUUAUCUGUUUGAUAUUUGCACAGGAACCCAUAACUAUACAAGAAAGCUGGUAUUUUCUGAUUUCUGAUGUUUUAAAGACAUUAUAGCUGUAUCUUCUCGGCCAGCUAUAUCUUCUCAGUUUCAGCUUUUAAACAAAACAAGACAACUGUUGCUAUUCUUUCCUUGUUUGUAAUUUAACCCUGAAUGUCUUAAGUGAUACAUUCUCAAUUUCUCUGAUGUUAAAAUAUAACACCGAAUGUGUAAAA